rnacentral:rRNA from 1 species
GAUGAACGCUGGCGGCGUGCCUAAUACAUGCAAGUCGAGCGAACAGACGAGGAGCUUGCUCCUCUGACUUUAGCGGCGGACGGGUGAGUAACACGUGGAUAACCUACCUAUAAGACUGGGAUAACUUCGGGAAACCGGAGCCAAUACCGGAAAAUAGAUUGAACCGCAUGGUUCAAUAGUGAAAGACGGUUUUGCUGUCACUGAUAGAUGGAUCCGCGCCGCAUUAGCUAGUUGGUAAGGUAACGGCUUACCAAGGCAACGAUGCGUAGCCGACCUGAGAGGGUGAUCGGCCACACUGGAACUGAGACACGGUCCAGACUCCUACGGGAGGCAGCAGUAGGGAAUCUUGCGCAAUGGGCGAAAGCCUGACGGAGCAACGCCGCGUGAGUGAUGAAGGUCUUCGGAUCGUAAAACUCUGUUAUCGGGGAAGAACAAAUUUGUAAGUAACUAUGCACGUAUUGACGGUACCUAAUCAAAAAGCCACGGCUAACUACGUG